GAGCCGGAAGGGUGAGCCUGCUCUAGGCCACUUCCGCUUCUGCCGGGGGAGGAGCCUGCCGCGCUGUCCUCAUGAGUCGCUUCAAGUUCGUGGAUAUUGGUAUCAACCUGACAGAUUCUAUGUUUAGAGGAAUCUAUAGGGGGGUGCAGAAGCAUCAAGAUGACUUACAAGAUGUAAUAGAGAGAGCUGUCCAGAUUGGUGUUAAAAAGUUUAUGAUCACAGGUGGAAGUCUACAGGACAGCAGAGACGCGCUGCAGUUGGCACAGACAAAUGACAUGUUUUUCAGUACAGUUGGGUGUCAUCCCACGAGAUGUGAUGAGUUUGACAAGAACGACCCUGACGGUUACUUGGCGGGAUUGCUGAACCUUGCCGAGAAGAACAAGGGGAAGGUUGUAGCAGUAGGGGAGUGUGGACUUGAUUUUGACCGGCUGCACUUUUGCCCCAAAGAAACUCAGCUCAAAUAUUUCGAAAAACAAUUUGAAUUGUCAGAACAAACACAAUUACCAAUGUUUCUUCAUUGUCGAAACUCACAUGCUGAGUUUUUGGACAUAAUGAGAAGAAAUAGAGACCGGUGUGUGGGCGGAGUGGUGCAUUCAUUUGAUGGUACAAAGGAAGCAGCUGCUGCUUUGAUUGACUUGGACCUUUACAUAGGAUUUAAUGGUUGCUCACUGAAAACAGAAGCUAACUUGGAAGUUCUGAAGUCAAUACCUAGUGAAAAACUAAUGAUUGAAACAGAUGCACCUUGGUGUGGAGUUAAAAGUACACAUGCUGGAUCAAAAUACAUAAAAACUUCAUUUCCUACCAAAAAGAAAUGGGAAAACGGGUACUGUUUAAAAGAUAGAAACGAGCCCUGCCAUAUCAUGUAAGUUGUUUUUCCUGGUCUUCACAGCUGUCAGAGGUGACCACUGACGGCCACUUAGUGAAUGGAGGGGCAGAAUGAACGUCCUCUGGCAUUCCAGUCAGGUUCAGUCAAAUAUUGGAGAUAAUGGCAGCAGUCAGAGAAGAAGAUCCGCUGGAAUUAGCCAACACGCUAUAUAACAACACUAUUAAAGUAUUUUUUUCCUGAUA